rnacentral:rRNA from 1 species
UACGUAGGGUGCAAGCGUUGUCCGGAAUUAUUGGGCGUAAAGGGCUCGUAGGCGGUCCAUCGCGUCGGGAGUGAAAAGCUGGGGCUCAACCCCAGUCCUGCCUCCGAUACGGGUGGACUAGAGGUAUGCAGGGGAGAACGGAAUUCCUGGUGUAGCGGUGAAAUGCGCAGAUAUCAGGAAGAACACCAAUGGCGAAGGCAGCUCUCUGGGACGGUACUGACGCUGAGACGCGAAAGCGUGGGGAGCGAACAGG